rnacentral:rRNA from 1 species
CCUACGGGAGGCAGCAGUGGGGAAUAUUGGACAAUGGGGGGAACCCUGAUCCAGCCAUGCCGCGUGUGUGAAGAAGGCCCUCGGGUUGUAAAGCACUUUCAGUGAGGAAGAACGCCUGGUGGUUAAUACCCAUCAGGAAAGACAUCACUCACAGAAGAAGCACCGGCUAACUCCGUGCCAGCAGCCGCGGUAAUACGGAGGGUGCGAGCGUUAAUCGGAAUUACUGGGCGUAAAGCGCGCGUAGGUGGCUUGAUAAGCCGGUUGUGAAAGCCCCGGGCUCAACCUGGGAACGGCAUCCGGAACUGUCAAGCUAGAGUGCAGGAGAGGAAGGUAGAAUUCCCGGUGUAGCGGUGAAAUGCGUAGAGAUCGGGAGGAAUACCAGUGGCGAAGGCGGCCUUCUGGAAUGACACUGACACUGAGGUGCGAAAGCGUGGGUAGCAAACAGGAUUAGAUACCCCUGUAGUC